CCCCUAGAUGUUCUGGGCCGCACGCGCGCUACACUGAACAGUUCAACAAGUCUUAACCUUGGCCGAUAGGUCUGGGUAAUCUUUGAACGCUGUUCGUGAUUGGGAUAGACCUUUGCAAUUAUGGGUCUUCAACGAGGAAUUCCUAGUAAACGCAAGUCAUCAGCUUGCAUUGAUUACGUCCCUGCCCUUUGUACACACCGCCCGUCGCACCUACCGAUUGGAUGGUCCGGUGAAAUCUCGGGACGGCGGCUUGGUCGCUUGCGUCCGACUGCUGAAACUUGAUUAAACCAUAUCAUUUAGAGGAAGGUGAANUCGUANCA
rnacentral:rRNA from 1 species